GACGAACGCUGGCGGCGUGCUUAACACAUGCAAGUCGAGCGGUAAGGCCCUUUCGGGGGUACACGAGCGGCGAACGGGUGAGUAACACGUGGGUGACCUGCCCUCAGCUCUGGGAUAAGCCUGGGAAACCGGGUCUAAUACUGGAUAUGACUCCAUGACGCAUGUUGUGGGGUGGAAAGCCUUGUGCGGCUGAGGAUGGGCCCGCGGCCUAUCAGCUUGUUGGUGGGGUGAUGGCCUACCAAGGCGACGACGGGUAGCCGGCCUGAGAGGGCGACCGGCCACACUGGGACUGAGACACGGCCCAGACUCCUACGGGAGGCAGCAGUGGGGAAUCUUGCGCAAUGGGCGAAAGCCCUGACGCAGCGACGCCGCGUGAGGGAUGACGGCCU
rnacentral:rRNA from 1 species